rnacentral:rRNA from 1 species
UACGGAGGGUGCGAGCGUUAAUCGGAAUUACUGGGCGUAAAGGGUGCGUAGGUGGUUAAUUAAGUUAGGUGUAAAAACCCUGGGCUUAACCUAGGACUGAGAUUUAAUACUGAUUAACUGGAGUAUGGGAGAGGGUAGUGGAAUUUCCGGUGUAGCGGUGAAAUGCGUAGAGAUCGGAAGGAACACCAGUGGCGAAGGCGGCUACCUGGCCUAAUACUGACACUGAAGCACGAAAGCGUGGGGAGCAAACAGG